CGGCCCAGACUCCUACGGGAGGCAGCAGUAGGGAAUCUUGGACAAUGGGCGCAAGCCUGAUCCAGCCAUGCCGCGUGAGUGAAGAAGGCCUUAGGGUUGUAAAGCUCUUUCAGGGGUGAGGAUUAUGACAGUAACCCCAGAAGAAGCACCGGCUAACUUCGUGCCAGCAGCCGCGGUAAUACGAAGGGUGCAAGCGUUGUUCGGAAUCACUGGGCGUAAAGGGCGUGUAGGCGGACUGACAAGUUAGAGGUGAAAGCCCCGGGCUCAACCUGGGAACUGCCUUUAAAACUGUUAGUCUAGAAUCCGGGAGGGGAGUGUGGAAUUCCUAGUGUAGAGGUGAAAUUCGUA
rnacentral:rRNA from 1 species